rnacentral:rRNA from 1 species
CUACGGGAUGCUGCCGUGAGGAAUAUUGCACAAUGGGGGGAACCCUGAUGCAGCAACGCCGCGUGGAGGAUGACGCAUUUCGGUGUGUAAACUCCUUUUAUAUGUCAAGAAAAUGACGGUAGCAUAUGAAUAAGCACCGGCUAACUCCGUGCCAGCAGCCGCGGUAAUACGGAGGGUGCAAGCGUUACUCGGAAUCACUGGGCGUAAAGGACGCGUAGGCGGGUUGGAAAGUCAGGUGUGAAAUCCUACAGCUUAACUGUAGAACUGCACUUGAAACUUCUAAUCUAGAGUAUGGGAGGGGGAGAUGGAAUUAGUGGUGUAGGGGUAAAAUCCGUAGAUAUCACUAGGAAUACCUAAAGCGAAGGCGAUCUCCUGGAACAUUACUGACGCUAAGGCGUGAAAGCGUGGGGAGCAAACAGGAUUAGAUACCCAGGUAGUC